CCUACGGGAGACAGCAGUGGGGAAUAUUGCGCAAUGGGCGAAACCCUGACGCAGCGACGCCGCGUGAGGGAUGAAGGUCCUCGGAUUGGUAACCCCCGUUAGCAGGGAAGAAGAAUGACGGUACCUGACUAAGAAGCCCCGGCUAACUAAGUGCCAGCAGCCGCGGUAAUACGUAGGGGGCAAGCGUUAUCCGGAUUGACUGGGUGUAAAGGGGGCGCAAACGGGGCCGCAAGCCAGGAGGUAAAGCUCGGGGCCCAACCCCGGGACUGCACUUGGAACUGCUCGGCUGGAGUGCAGGAGGGGCAGGCGGAAUUCCUGGUGUAGCGGUGAAAUGCGUAGAUAUCAGGAGGAACACCGGUGGCGAAGGCGGCCUGCUGGACUGCGACUGACGUUGAGGCCCGAAAGCGUGGGGAGCAAACAGGAUUAGAUACCCGUGUAGUC
rnacentral:rRNA from 1 species